rnacentral:pre_miRNA from 1 species
CACCACUAAUAGCUGAAGCUGCCAGCAUGAUCUGAGCCUUCAAUAGAAGAAGCUGUCAGAUCAUCUGGCAGUUUCAACUGUUGCUGUG